rnacentral:lncRNA from 1 species
UGACAUGUGUGGAUAUGGAUCGUCGUGGAGGUGCAUUUACAUGAACUUCACACAAACGGGACCGCAGUCACCACACCUAAUGUUUUCGUAGGUGUCGGCGAUGCGCUCCCAUGUAAAAGGUGAAAGGUCGCGAGCGUUGUUCUUUGCCACAUAGCGAACAAGGUAGGGUAGCAUCUGAAGAAUGGGCUUGAUGAAAUUCAGAACCUCGCCAGCGUCGUACAGGGUGGAUUGUGA